rnacentral:tRNA from 1 species
GGAUUAAUAGUUUAUUUAAAACGUAAAUUUUGUAAAUUUAUAAUAUUAUAUAAUUUUAUAUUUUUUAGUCCA